rnacentral:lncRNA from 1 species
GGGGUCAUGGUUUCCGAGGGGGCACCGGCGGCGGAGCUGCUGUGGCCCUGCGGUCGCCUAGAGGGCUCGCGUGGCGCUGCCCCGGUCGCGCGGAUCGGGCGUUGGGGGCGCCGUCUUCUCCGGGAGCUGCUGGCCGGGGUGCGCACCGUGCCCCGGGAUCCCGGGAGCAGCUGCUCCUCGGGGAACAGGCGGUUGCAUUUCCAGCAUCUCCCGGUCCUAGACGAUGGGGCUCCGGGCAGUCUGGCGGCUCGGGCGCUCCCUGGCUCUUACGUGCGCCGGGUUCGGAGCGCGCCCAGCGCCCGAAGCCCCAUUCCUGAUCCUCGGAGCGCUGCGCACGAAACGCUCGGUGGCGGCGCGGCUGUGCGGGCUGGCGGGUGGACCGAACGGUGGCGCUGGAGCGGGCUGCGAUCUGGAUCUUCGGGAAAUGCCGAGCGGAGCGCGCUGCCGGCUCUAUUUAAGGAGUCGCCUGACGUCAGCCGCGCGGGUCCCCCGAGCCCGCGCCGCGCCCGGGGACCUGGCCCGCCCCCUGCGCCCCCACUCUCUUACCCCUCCCAGAAACACAGGACGCGGGCGCUCCUCACGCAGGCCACUCCCUACAGAGCCCCAGGCCAGCUUUGGGGCGGUGAAGCGAAGGUGUCAAGGCAUAGUACUCCUCUGGGAGGCUGGACAACCCUACCACGCGGGCCUCUCGACACCGAGGGACACGAACCCAGGUCGAGAUCGCGUCGACAUCCAGACCAGACAGACCCAGACGCAGACGCAGGCACCCUGCCCUGAUGCGCGGUCCCACCACCCUGACCCGCACACACACGCACAGGCACAGAAGCACACACGCCCUAGCUCGGACACACCCCCACACGGGGAGGAGAAGUCCCCUGACCUGGGCCCAGAUACACCGACAGGGACACUGCCCCCCUCUCGACAUCUCGCCAAAUGGACACACACAGCCCGGAAUCCGACACGGAGCGCACGCACGCCCAGGACUGGGACACGCGCUGUAGAUGGGAUGGGUGGAGGAGCCGAGCGCUCCUCUCCUGGAUGUGAGCUAAUUUGUCUAUGUCUCUUCCAAAAUCUUGCACCUGGGACUGCAUGAGGAAUUUCAGAUAUGGAUUGAAAAGUUCAACAGGACUCUCACCUCUCUUUUAGACAAGAUUUCACCAUGUUGGCCAUGAUGGUCUCGAUCUCUUGACAUCGUGAUCCACCCGCCUCGGCCUCCCAAAGUAAGGUUUAUGCAUAAGGUUAGUGUUUGUCACAUUAUACAAAUAAAAUUGGAAGCAAUCUUAACGCUGCAUUAACUGGUUAUUGCUUAAAUAAAUUACGGUUUCUUGCUCUCUCAAUGUCAACCCCCUAUCCCAAUUCAGAGUUGACUGGGAAGAGGCAGGAAGUCAGACUUGUAUUAGGCAUGUGUGUCUGAACUUGGCCCCUUAAUGAUCUAACCUACUGAUUCUCAGCCCUGGCUGCACAUUAGGAUCACCUGGGGAACUUUAAAAAAAUGCUGAUAUCUAAGGCUCCCUCCUCUUCCCAAGAUUCUGAUUCAAUUGGUCCUGGGUGAGGCCUAGGCAUUGGUAUUAUUUUUAAAGCUCCCUGGGUGAUUCUAAUGUGCAGCCAGGGUCAAGAACCAUUGCUAACCAGCACUCCCUUUAAGUUGAUUAAUUAUAUAGGCUAUUGACCAAAGCUGGAACUAACAGCCCUCAAGAAACCCCAGGGAAGCCACGCCAUUGCUUGAG